CCUACGGGAGGCUGCAGUGAGGAAUAUUGGUCAAUGGACGUGCGUCUGAACCAGCCAAGUAGCGUGAAGGAUGACUGCCCUAUGGGUUGUAAACUUCUUUUAUAUGGGAAUAAAAUGUUCCACGUGUGGGCUUUUGUAUGUACCAUAUGAAUAAGGAUCGGCUAAAGCCGUGCCAGCAGCCGCGGUAAUACGGGGGAUUCGGGCGUUAGCCGGGUUUAUUGGGUUUAAAGGGAGCUUAGGUGGGUUGUCAAGGCAGUUGUGAAAGUUUGCGGGUCAAACGUAAAAUUGCAGUUGAAACUGGCAGUCUUGAGUACAGUAGAGGUGUGCGGAAUGCGUGGUGUAGCGGUGAAAUGCUUAGAUAUCACGAAGAACUCCGAUUGCGAAGGCAGUUCACCGGACUGCAACUGACACUGAGGCUCGAAAGUGUGGGUAUCAAACAGGAUUAGAUACCCCAGUAGUC
rnacentral:rRNA from 1 species